AUUGAACGCUGGCGGCAGGCCUAACACAUGCAAGUCGAGCGGAGCGGCGGACGGGUGAGUCAUGCCUAGGAAUCUGCCUGGUAGUGGGGGAUAACGUCCGGAAACGGGCGCUAAUACCCCAUACUAUCCGAUGAGCCUAGGUAGGAUUAGCUAGUUGGUGGGGUAAAGGCCUACCAGGGAGACGAUCCGUAACUGGUCUGAGAGGAUGAUCAGUCACACGGGAACUGAGACACGGUCCAGACUCCUACGGGAGGCAGAAGUGGAGAAUAGUGUACAAUUGGCGAAGUCCUGAUCCAGCCAUGCCGCGUGGGUGAAGAAGGUCUUCGGAUUUUAAAGAACUUUAAGUUGGGAGGCGUUACCAACAGAAUAAGCACCGGCUAACUACGUGCCAGCAGCCGCGGUAAUAC
rnacentral:rRNA from 1 species